rnacentral:rRNA from 1 species
CCUACGGGGAGCAGCAGUAGGGAAUAUUGCUCAAUGGGGGAAACCCUGAUGCCGCAACGCCGCGUGGAGGCUGCAGGUUUUCGGAUUGUAAACUCCUUUUGUUAGAGAAGAUAAUGACGGUAUCUAUCGAAUAAGCACCGGCUCACUCCGUGCCAGCAGCCGCGGUAAGAAGGAGGGUGCAAGAGUUAUUAGGCAGUACUGGUGGUAAAGAGGGCGCAGGAGGGAAAGCAAGUCAGAUGUGAAACCCCAUGGCUUAAACAUCGAACUGUCUUUGAAACUGUGAGUCUAGAGUGUGGGAGAGGCAGGUGGAAUUCUUGGUGUAGGGGUAAAAUGCGUAGAUAUCAGGAGGAAUACUCAUUGCGAAGGCGGCCUGCUAGAACGUAACUGACGCUGAGGCGCGAAAGCGUGGGGAGCAAACAGGAUUAGAUACCCGGGUAGUC